ACACCGAUGGUGAAGUGGUUAUCAUGCUUGCCUUCCAUUUGUCAGGUAGCAAGCGGCACGGGUUCGAUUCCCGUUCGGUGUA